rnacentral:rRNA from 1 species
UACGGAGGGUGCAAGCGUUAUCCGGAUUCACUGGGUUUAAAGGGUGCGUAGGUGGCCAGGUAAGUCGGAUGUGAAAUCCCGGGCUCAACCCCGGAACUGCACUCGAUACUGCUUGGCUGGAGUACUGGAGAGGAGAUUGGAAUUUACGGUGUAGCAGUGAAAUGCGUAGAUAUCGUAAGGAAGACCAGUGGCGAAGGCGGAUCUCUGGACAGUUACUGACACUGAGGCACGAAGCCAGGGAGCAAACGGG